AAGACAUUCCUCGCUAAGAGCCUGGAGACAAAGCAAACAUACAGGAUCCAUUUACGAAAGGAGCCGCAGUAGGUCAGCAGCCAUGACAUGGACUAUUGCGCUUUCCUGAACCUGAGCAUGCAUUACUCGGCAUUGAUAAGCUGAAAGGAGGAACUGUUGAAGGGGAUAUUCCAAUUAUUUUGAACCAGUCUACUGAAGAUGAGCUUUUGGGUUGCAAUUACUCUCUCUAACACACUUACAGGCAUACAGAACAUCACAACAUCUCAGACCUUGGUAAUCUCAGAAUCAGCUUGUGAAUCAUUUACACUUCCCAAUAAAGCACUUUUCUCUCUCUCACACACACACUGACAUAGAAAUGUCUGAUAGCAGCUGUCAUCGGCAUGCUCUACCCAGACUAAUAAGAUAUCAACACUAUGUCAAUUAAUUCAGAGAUGCUGCUCUGAAAAGAGAGAGAGAAAAAAAAAAAAACAUGUAAAUAAACUCAAGGAAUUACAUGAUAUUUCAUCAUCAUCAACAACAACACUGUAGUGUAUAUCCAUAGCAGACAACCAUGACCAUAAAUACAGAUGAGCAGUUUUACAAUGGAGCUUUGUGUAGUAACAUGGCACAGCAAAAUAAACUAAGAUAUCAAAAGCA